GAAUGCUGACAUAAGUAACGAUAAAGCGGGUGAAAAGCCCGCUCGCCGGAAGACCAAGGGUUCCUGUCCAACGUUAAUCGGGGCAGGGUGAGUCGACCCCUAAGGCGAGGCCGAAAGGCGUAGUCGAUGGGAAACAGGUUAAUAUUCCUGUACUUGGUGUUACUGCGAAGGGGGGACGGAGAAGGCUAUGUUGGCCGGGCGACGGUUGUCCCGGUUUAAGCGUGUAGGCUGGUUUUCCAGGCAAAUCCGGAAAAUCAAGGCUGAGGCGUGAUGACGAGGCACUACGGUGCUGAAGCAACAAAUGCCCUGCUUCCAGGAAAAGCCUCUAAGCAUCAGGUAACAUCAAAUCGUACCCCAAACCGACACAGGUGGUCAGGUAGAGAAUACCAAGGCGCUUGAGAGAACUCGGGUGAAGGAACUAGGCAAAAUGGUGCCGUAACUUCGGGAGAAGGCACGCUGAUAUGUAGGUGAAGCGACUUGCUCGUGGAGCUGAAAUCAGUCGAAGAUACCAGCUGGCUGCAACUGUUUAUUAAAAACACAGCACUGUGCAAACACGAAAGUGGACGUAUACGGUGUGACGCCUGCCCGGUGCCGGAAGGUUAAUUGAUGGGGUUAGCGGUAA
rnacentral:rRNA from 1 species